UUGUAGGUGGGGUUGGGGGUGUGCAGAUGGUGAAACACAAGUGAAGCAUAUGUGUAUUUAUUUAUUGGUAAUUGUUUGGAGGUAGAAAUUUUGAGCUGUUGAAAAUAGAGUUCCAUUAAAUCGCAUUUUAGUGCAUCUUCUCUCGUUUUGGAAUCAUGGAUAACUAUAAAACUUUAAAUUUAUUUUAAUUGUUGGUCAAGUUGUUUGUGACUUGUUUCUAUAUUGCAUUGAUUACUAUGGCCAAAUUAUUUACCUUUAGCUUGAAAUUAUAAUACUAUCGUCACCCCUUUGUUGAUUAACAAAGUCUAACGAACCCUUUGUUUUUGUCUAUGCAGUCUUUGGGACGUUGUAAGUGUAUA
rnacentral:lncRNA from 1 species